CGCACUUCACCGGACUAAGCCUGGAGAGCUUUGUCAAAUUGACAAAAGAACAUGCAGACCUUAUUCGAGAUCUGAAGAGAAAGGCAAGAAAACACUACGACCGCAGCCAUUCGCAGUACAGCUGAGAGAAACUCGUCAUUCUCUUGUCUCGGUUUUUGAUUUCUGUUUGCACAUGUUUGCUUUCCUCGAUUUGAGGUUUAAAAUCACUGAUUGUUUUAUUUCAGUUUUUUUGGACUAAGAGAUUACAGGCUUAUUACAGUUUCGCUUGAGCCGCACAAAUUGCAAACAGCACAAAGAACAGAUUCUGAGGAAUAACAGACUGAAUGGACUUACGUAAUGCACUGAUCUUGUUCAAGCUCUUUUGAGGUCUGUAGUUUUCAUUGAUUGUGUUUCCUCAGUCAAUAAUCUGCUCUUGGUAACAUGCUGUCUGAAAGCUUUUGCAAUGUUGCCUCGCCAACUCAUAACCCAAGAAUGGCUUUUGUUUAGUUUUUUCCUAUUCAAAUGGACUUCAUUUUCGGUUCUAAAUGUAGAACCUUUCAGCCAAACGUGGUUUGCUUGGUUUUAAAUUUGUUGCACAUGUUGUUUGGUAGAGGAGCAAAAGUCCAGGACUUGGUGUUCAUGUGUGUGAUCGGAGCAGAGAGAUAAAACAGGGUGGGGCCUGGGCAGGAUGCCUGAAAAGUUUGUGGCCUUUCUGUUCGUAGUGUGUAGCGGUGCAGGCUUCGAGAUUGCACUGCCUGAAAAAAAGCACUCAGUCUCAGGUCAUCUCACUUGCCAAAUGAAAACAAAA